rnacentral:rRNA from 1 species
CCUACGGGAGGCAGCAGUGGGGGAUAUUGCACAAUGGGGGGAACCCUGAUGCAGCGACGCCGCGUGAGUGAAGAAGUAUUUCGGUAUGUAAAGCUCUAUCAGCAGGGAAGAAAAAGGUGCCCGCUGGGCGCCUGGACGGUACCUGAUUAAGAAGCCCCGGCUAACUACGUGCCAGCAGCCGCGGUAAU